rnacentral:rRNA from 1 species
GAAUGGACCCGGCCCGACUUCUUCGGGAGCAGCAGUAGGAAUCUUCCGCAAUGACGAAAUUUGACGGACCACCCCGCGUGAGGAUGAAAGUUUUCGGAUCGUAAAGCUCUGUUGUUAGGGAAGAACAAGUGCGAGAGUAACUGCUCGCACCUUGACGGUACCUAACCAGAAAGCCACGGCUAACUACGUGCCAGCAGCCGCGGUAAUACGUAGGUGGCAAGCGUUGUCCGGAAUUAUUGGGCGUAAAGGGCUCGCAGGCGGUUUCUUAAGUCUGAUGUGAAAGCCCCCGGCUCAACCGGGGAGGGUCAUUGGAAACUGGGAAACUUGAGUGCAGAAGAGGAGAGUGGAAUUCCACGUGUAGCGGUGAAAUGCGUAGAGAUGUGGAGGAACACCAGUGGCGAAGGCGACUCUCUGGUCUGUAACUGACGCUGAGGAGCGAAAGCGUGGGGAGCGAACAGGAUUAGAUACCCUGGUAGUCCACGCCGUAAACGAUGAGUGCUAAGUGUUAGGGGGUUUCCGCCCCUUAGUGCUGCAGCUAACGCAUUAAGCACUCCGCCUGGGGAGUACGGUCGCAAGACUGAAACUCAAAGGAAUUGACGGGGGCCCGCACAAGCGGUGGAGCAUGUGGUUUAAUUCGAAGCAACGCGAAGAACCUUACCAGGUCUUGACAUCCUCUGACAACCCUAGAGAUAGGGCUUUCCCUUCGGGGACAGAGUGACAGGUGGUGCAUGGUUGUCGUCAGCUCGUGUCGUGAGAUGUUGGGUUAAGUCCCGCAACGAGCGCAACCCUUGAUCUUAGUUGCCAGCAUUCAGUUGGGCACUCUAAGGUGACUGCCGGUGACAAACCGGAGGAAGGUGGGGAUGACGUCAAAUCAUCAUGCCCCUUAUGACCUGGGCUACACACGUGCUACAAUGGACAGAACAAAGGGCUGCAAGACCGCAAGGUUUAGCCAAUCCCAUAAAUCUGUUCUCAGUUCGGAUCGCAGUCUGCAACUCGACUGCGUGAAGCUGGAAUCGCUAGUAAUCGCGGAUCAGCAUGCCGCGGUGAAUACGUUCCCGGGCCUUGUACACACCGCCCGUCACACCACGAGAGUUUGCAACACCCGAAGUCGGUGAGGUAACCUUUAUGGAGCCACCCGCCGAAAGGGGGGAACCAUCGUGGG